rnacentral:misc_RNA from 1 species
AACGGUCUAUACCUGCGGUACCUGCGGAGGGAUCAUUACAUGGCGGAGGAGGUGGGCACCUAGGAAAACAAAACCCUAGGUGUGUUGCCUACCACGCUUUCUACCCUUGUCUAUUUGCACCUUUUGUCGUUCCCUCGGUGGGUCCUGAACCUGCCGGCGGCAACUUUCAAAAACCUUUUGUAGUUAGUAUCUAAUUCUUCUGAUCAAAUAUUCAAUCGUUACAACUUUCAACAAUGGAUC